AAAAAAAAAAAAAAAAAAUCUUUUGCCAUUUUUAGAAAAAUGUCUUUACGUUUUGGACUGGUUUUCUUCUCUCUUUCUUUCCUCCUCUUUUUGUGUGUGUUUGUUUGUGAAAGCAUGGAAGAAUGAGAAGCACCAAAUGAUUUACAACGAGUGAUUGGUUUAUUGUUCUAAAUGAUUUAUAAUUAUCUUUGUGUAUAUUUCCUUGGCAAUUGUUACAUAAUUUCUCUUUAGUGAUUUAUCUAGGAGAGAGCUGAAAUCAGAGGUAAAGGUCUUGCAAAGCCUCUUAAGUUAAAUGGUGGUAGCAUUUAGUUUGAGGACAUACAGUGUGCUCUCAUUCAUUAAAAUUUUUUGGCAGUCUAGUAGUUUUACAAAUCCAUAUGUGAAGUGUUAGUUAUAGGCUAUUAUCAUAAUUAUUUUGUAUAAUCUGUAUAGCUCUUGCAUUUAGUUUUCCCAAAAUCAAUUAAUGAAAUUACUGCUACUAUGGGUUCUAUAUUUAUUUUUUUCCUCCCAUUUGUAUCCUUAAGUUUUAUUUGAAAUUAGUACAUUUCUAAUACUUAGCAUGCAAUCCAAUGCUAAUAUAUUCCUUAACCUGGACAAGUAAAUUUGAAUAAUCUAGACACGUAGAAAAAUUUGGUUCAUGUGACAAAAUCGAAAUUGAAACCAUUUGGUUUUGCUGGUUGCUAACCUCUUACAUUUGUCACUGCUUGUUCCCUAUUUGAAACUUGGAGAAAUUUUUUAACAAAGUUAUUGGAGUUUUAUGGAUCUAAUGGCAGUAAACCUUUUAUGUACUCUCUCUGAUGUAGGAUGUAAGAAAAAGAAAACUUAUGUCAUACCAUAUUAUUUUGAAAAAUAUGCUCAAAAUUUGAUAUUUGGUGUCCUUUAAGUCAUGUUAACAAGGGCCAUAUUGAUAGCAAUUGAGGACAUAUUCUAAGAAAUUUGCCCUUGUGGUUGUUGUGAUGUGCUAGCACUUGAAAACUGAGGAAGUUUGGGGUUUCAAAUUAUAUCUAAAGGGCAUAGGAGUUAGGAUAAGAUGAUUAAUUUUGUAUUCACUACAUAGGAGUUUAAGGAUAAAGGGAAAUUGAUUGUUGGCUAAAACUUAAACAUCCAAUAACAACGACAACAACAACAACAAUUAAGGUUUAAUCCCAAACUAGUUGUAGUUAGCUAUAUGGAUCGUUUUUCGCUGUUCAACUCUGUUAAACACAUCUAAAACUUGUAAAUCCUUUGAUACUUUCUCCAAGUCAUCUUGGCCUCCCCUUUUCCCUUUCUCUACUAUCUUAUCACACUUUCGUACUAAGACAUUUGAUUUUUUGCAUUAUACAUGACCAAACCAUCUAUCAUUUUAUCUCUGAUAUAUACUACAUGCAUUCUAUGGCAGAUGUGCUCAUUCCAUAUAUUAUUUAUUAUUGUGUUGCUAAACAUCCAUCUUAAUAUCAACAUUUCUGCCAUACUCAUCUUGUGGGUAUGUUAUACCUUAGAUGCCCAACAUUGACUCCCAUACAACAUAGCUAGCUUGACCUCAAUUCUAUAGAACUUACCUUUCACUUUG
rnacentral:misc_RNA from 1 species